CAGAAAGAGAGCAAGUGGCCUCAAGGUGUAGCCAACGGAGUCAUCCUGUCAGAAAGUCUGCUUCUAAGGCCAUUUUUAAGGACCUGCAGUAGCCCAGAAGAGGGUGUGUCUCAGCCUGGGGACAGGUGGGCGAUGCUGGCACCAAGGAACAGUUCUAUGACAGCCUUCCUGCCUCUCCACUGCUUUCCACCCCUUCCCCUGGGGUUGACGUUUCUGUCCACUCCACAUCAGUGCAAGAAACAACCUGGCUGCCUCCAGAGGGUGAGGAAGCUGCACCUGGAAGGCUUUUGCUGCCUUCCUAAAACAUGAGAAGAAAAAGAAGCAGGUUCCCACCUUGUAAGAGGAACAGUUUUCGGGUGGGAUGAAGACAAGAUGCCCAUGUUCUCUUCACCGCCAUUUGUGUUCUUGUCGAGUGGAUUCGAGUUCUGGAGUCUGAGAAGUCCAAGAUCAAGACACGAGCUGAUUUGGUGUGUGGUGAGAACUCUCUUCCUGGUCUGCCUUCUUGCUGUGUCUUCACAUGGCCUGUGCUUCUCACUGCAAGAAAACUCUGGUCCCAGAGCUCUGAGGGUGCUGUGGCUAAAAGCACUUGAUUCUGAUGCUUCAGAUGGAUGCUGGCGAAAGCCUCUUCCUGUGGUGGUGGAUGAUGGAAAGUUGGGUUCCAGGUAUUUCCAGGCCUGAGGUCCCCAAACCCUCUGAGGGGUGAGGCCAGGAAAAAGAUGCCUGGAGCGCGUGGAGGUGUAGCUCAGAGGCAGAUUUGAAUAAAUUCAGGAAGUGAUUUAAGACAUAAUAUGUCUCCUGGAAUCUGAUCUAUAGCAGCCAUUGAGUACAUGCCUGGAGAUCAGGACUGUCUGGGAAAACUCAGUUUUUUCUUUUCCCCCUCACCAGUAUAUUGAUUUGAGUUCACAUACUGAAAGAGGAUGACACAGGAUGAUAGUGUCAGAACUGGCCUGACGGCUCUGAACUGGACAAGGUGGAGGUGAUGUCCACCGAUGAAAUCUUUGCUUGGCAAUGUAGGGCAUGCAAAACAAUUACACCAGAGACUUUGGGAGUUUCAAGACAACUGAAUGUACGAUAAGAAAGGGGAUAUCUUGGAGAAGAUAGACUGUCUAUCUCUAUUGGGAUUCUUCUGUAAGGCACAUUAUUGACUUCAAGGCAAGAGGCCAUGAAAGUGUGACUUUCCUUAAGACAGUAAACUCUCUGUUUUCUCAAGUGAAUGGAAAAAAAGGGGUGCAUUGGUUCCCUAUAUCAGUUUCCAGAAAUGAGUAUAUUGUACAAUGUAGUUCAUCUACAAUGCUUCCAAAUAUAAUUUAUUGUUACUCAGAUGAUUCAGAAGACCUGGUAUGUCAUCAAGAUAAACAGCAAAUAUUUUGUGCUGCAGCUGCAUUGAGAAGGCAUUAUCCAGUGACUUCUAGCAAUGAGUCAGGAAAAUAAAAAAUAAGUGCCUUUCUCUGUUACAACAUAUUCUAAACCAAUCAUUCAAUCAAUUGGAAUUUAUAGUUUAUCUACAACUGUUGAGGGAUUAUAUAGGUAUGUGGAGCAUAUAAAGAAAAUGUAUGCAAUGGUCUCACUGGUUUCAAAGAAAAUUACAUCUACAAAAGUUCUUGUCAGAGUUUAAGACUAGAACUUAGUAUUUGGGGUUUGUGAUGGGUUUGCUAGCUCUGCCCCUACUGUCUACUUUACCUGACUUCUAACAUGCCUUCUUGCAUUGUAGUGGCUGGUGAACCAAAUACCACAUUUCCCAGACUACCCUACCCUCAGGGCUCUGAAUGUGAUUUACGUCCUGCCAUUAAGUUGCACUAGUGCAAUGUUUGGAAGGUAAAACGAGGCAGAGGCCAUGCUUUUGCUGCUUCUGUUUUUUCUUUUAAAAGUUUAGUCAUGGAGGUAUUUGAAUUUUCUGUAGCAGCAUUAGCAGAAGUUUGUGGGUGUUAAGAGGUGGUCACAGAAAGCUCAUUUUGCAAGUGAGGACUAAGGCAUGUCUGGUUUCACAUGGCACCACCUUCCUCUCCUUGAGGCCCACCCCACUGCGGUGGCUUCUGGACUUUGGCAGUCAUAUUGUUUAGGAGAUGGCAGUUUCCUCAUCUGGGGAGAACAAAGAUCCCUUGGUGAUCCAGGUCUUCAUGUAGUUUUGGGAGUCAUUUCUGAAAUGUCAACCUAAAUUUGGACUCUUCUAAAGAUUCAGUGAGCUUUUCAAUGCCCUAUAAUAAUUUUUUUUUUCAUUCUUCAACUUGCUAGAAUGGCUUAUGUUCUCUGGAACUAAAUCUAUCUAUGCCUAUAAUUGGUACUAGGAGAGUUAUAGGCAACAGACUCUUAAAAAAUUGGAAAUUUGGAUUCAUUUUUCCUGACUAUUGGGUUUGAAAGUAGCAAUGAUUAUGGAAUAUGGAAUUAAAAUAUGGAAUAUGAAAUAUUAGAAUAUGGAAUAUUGGCAGUAUAUGACAUGGAGUGGUGCAAUAGUGACUUAAAAUAUUGAUUACUUAGAGUGAAGAGCUCAGUGAAGGCAAAGAUUUUGGUAGAGUGCCUGCUGACCAUCAUGGUGAGAAUAAGGAAUACAAGGUCUGUGGAGUUGGGUGGCUGUUUUACCUACGUUGGAGAACUUCAAGAAAGAAAAUGAUAUGCUCAGAAUUUUAAAGUUAUUGGCAUGAGGCAUGAUCAGAGGACCAAGGAGCUUCUAUGACUUUCUAGAAGAACCAUUUAUUUCAUGUAGUUGCAAGGCUUAUGCAUUCUAAUAUCAAAUACCAUUUGAUUCUGUGGGUUGAUGAUUAAAAGAUAAUCUAAACUCA